rnacentral:rRNA from 1 species
AAUGAACGUUGGCGGCGUGGAUUAGGCAUGCAAGUCGUGCGGAAAGGCCCCUUCGGGGGUACUCGAGCGGCGAAAGGGAGAGUAACGCGUGGGUCACCUGCCCCUGGGACUGGGAUAGCGGCGGGAAACUGCCGGUAAUACCGGAUAAUGUCUCCGGACCAAAUGGUGUGAUUCCGCCUGGGGAUGGGCCCGCGUCCUAUUAGCUUGUUGGUGGGGUAAUGGCCUACCAAGGCGAAGAUGGGUACCGGGUGUGAGAGCAUGGCCCGGCUCACUGGGACUGAGACACUGCCCAGACACCUACGGGUGGCUGCAGUCGAGAAUCUUCGGCAAUGGGCGCAAGCCUGACCGAGCGACGCCGCGUGCGGAAUGAAGGCCUUGGGUUGUAACCGCUGUCAGAGGGAAGGAAUGUUGGCGGGUUCUCUCGUCAAUUUUUGACCGAACCUCAGAGGAAGUACGGGCUAAG